UCUUUAAUGAAAUUUUAUUUACUAUUUUCUAGAAGUUAUUUAUUGUCGGAAAAUAUUGCUAGCGAUUACAGAUUAUUUAAAAAUAAAUGUGUUUUUUUGUUCUGUCUCUGGCGAGAUCGUGAUAAAACAUACGCGGAAUUUAUCGAAAUUGUUUUAAAUACCUCGGAGUUCUUAGAAUCUAAGUAUCGUCUUACUUACAUCAUUAAAUAAUACUUAUUAUAAAUAAUAUUAAAGAUACGAACACGCGCGAGUGUAUUAUCUGUUAAAAAUAAAAGUUAUUGUAGGUAAGUAUAAAAAAAAAA